CGAAGCUUCCCCCAUUCUGCCGCUAUUUAAUCCAAAUCCGGAGACGAUCUCCCCAAUCCGAUCUUCGAUUUGUCACCUCGUUCUUCCCGAUCGAUCGAUUUUGUAGAGAAUCAUGGAGGCUCAGAGGAAUUUCCGUGAUCAGGCGUCGUUUUUGCAGUUCAGCGAUCAGCUACGGCUGCAGACCUCGGGUCUAGCCAAUCUCUCCAUUGGGGACAGCAUCUGGAGCGACUCCUUCGUCAAGCAGCAACCACUCAACUCCAAUUCUCCUUCUGAUCUCAACGGCGGGUGGAAGUCCGCGUUCGGAGGCUCCCAGAAGCUCGCCUUUGGCACCAGCAACUACGGCGUCAAUCGGUACAACAACGCCGACAACGGUAAGAGCGCCGAUGCCGGAGGCAAUAAGAGUUUGAGUUAUUUCGGCAGCGGAAAUUACAACGAUGGUGGGAACGGUGGGGUUAUUAAGAAUUAUUUCGACAAUAUGGCCGUCAAUAAGCCUGCUAAUAAGCUGGUGGGAGGGAAUGGGAAGAAGGGUAUCGCUAAUAGCAAUGAUGGAAGCAACGGUAAGAAGAAAAAGAACUCUAACAACAACAAUAGCAGCAGCAACAACAACAAUAAAGAGGCGGCGGUUGACAAGAGGUUUAAGACGCUGCCACCAUCGGAAGCUCUUCCAAGGAACGAGGCGAUCGGGGGUUACAUCUUCGUCUGUAACAACGACACCAUGGAGGAAAACCUCCGGAGGCAGCUGUUUGGUCUUCCAUCAAGAUAUAGGGAUUCAGUACGAGCAAUCACGCCAGGAUUACCUCUUUUCCUCUACAAUUACUCCACCCAUCAGCUUCAUGGAAUCUUUGAGUCAGCUAGCUUUGGAGGAACUAACAUUGAUCCCACCGCAUGGGAGGACAGGAAAGGCCCUGGAGAAUCCCGUUUCCCUGCUCAGGUAUCGUUAAACUUUCUUCAUUUACCUAAUCAUCUUUUGUUUUUAAACAACAAAGCUUGUAAAUAUGCAUACUGGCAUUUAAUAUCUAGCAAUUCUUGUGUAAGUCGAGCAAUGCUUGAUAGAAAUCUCAUUUUCUUUGCAAUAGAACACCGUGGUUCACAGAUUUGCUAACUUUGAACUGAUGUAGUUCAAAAUAUUCAUUAAUGGUAGUCAAAGAUGUUGUCUAAAGAUGGAUCCGUGUCUUUGACUGAUUCAUUUGCAAUGGAAAAUGGUAAUAGUGGAGAAAUUCCUAAUUAUGCGUUAGUGAUAUCUACUCAUGACAGCUUACUUGUUAUUCAGAUUAGUGGAAUCCAUCUAAGUUCGAUUUGCCAUCUGACUUGUACAACCAGGGAAACUGCUUGUAAUAUAUAAAUACCAAUUUUUGUUUUUGGAAUAAUAGGUCAGCCAAACAAUAUUUAGCAAAAAUGUGAUGGUUGUUGCUUGUUCUCAUCUCAUUGAAUGAACUGGUUACCUAUUCAAGCUUAUCAGCCUAUUCCACAACUAAUCCUACCAUCUUCUGAUCUGCCAAGACUUGGUCAUUAACGUGUUUUGGUCAGAUUAGUCAAACAAACAAUUGCGGUCUCCUUAAGCAUUGUUCCAUAACCAUUCGAUGGUCAAGAACAAAUGCGGCCACGUUAAGCAAUUACCAAAAAUCAACAAAUUUCAUGUUUCCAAUUAAUACUUGUUUCUCGGAUGUGUUACUGAAAGCAUGUGUACUAUCCGUCAUUGUUUCAUUAGGUAAGAGUCGUGACACGAAAGGUCUAUGAGCCAUUGGAAGAGGAUGCCUUCAGGCCCAUACUUCACCACUACGAUGGACCCAAGUUCCGGCUCGAACUCAAUGUGGAAGAGGCAUUGAAGCUCCUUGAUGUCUUCGCCCAGCAGGAUGCUUGAUUAGAGUAUAUUGACUAUGAACGAGAAGGCUAAAGGGAAAUCAAAAUAGAUAUUUAUAAAUUAGUACUUUGUAAUGUGGAAUAAAUCAAAGUUUUGUACUUCGUGUGCUCUUUGGGUCAGAAAAAAGAGUUGAACAAGAGCCGUAAACUUUGGGUUUUAGUGCUUUUACUAGGUCCUGUUCUGUAAAAUCAUGGAUGCAUGGACUUAGGACUUUCCUGUACUGAUGAUGGCACAUCAGAAUGCUUAAAAUGCUGAGUAAAUGUAAUUUACACAGUGAGAUAUUGAAGAAUUUAAAUGUCA